rnacentral:rRNA from 1 species
UACGGAGGGGGCUAGCGUUGUCCGGAUUUACUGGGCGUAAAGGAUGCGUAGGCGGACAUUUAAGUCAGAUGUGAAAUACCCGAGCUUAACUUGGGUGCUGCAUUUGAAACUGGGUGUCUAGAGUGCAGGAGAGGUAAGUGGAAUUCCUAGUGUAGCGGUGAAAUGCGUAGAGAUUAGGAAGAACACCAGUGGCGAAGGCGACUUACUGGACUGUAACUGACGCUGAGGCAUGAAAGCGUGGGGAGCAAACAGG